rnacentral:lncRNA from 1 species
AAUUUGUGGCACCUCUUUUUAGCUUUGGCAUGGAGAAUUUUUAGGAGAGGUGGGGCAGCACAUGAGAGUCCUAUUUCCUCUUUAACUAAUUUUUAACAAACCCUAGUUUUAAUGUUUAAAUAGGGAUUAGAUGGGGCACCUCCUAACGAGAGAUAAGAUCUAGAGUUUGGAUGCCCUAUAUGAGAGAAAAGGGAGAUGGUGUGG